rnacentral:rRNA from 1 species
AAGUCGUAACAAGGUUUCCGUAGGUGAACCUGCGGAAAGGAUCAUUAGUGAAUUUUGGGCACUCUUUAUAGAGGCCUAACCUCCACAAUCCCAAACACUGUGCACUCUUUUGGCGAGUUUUGUAAUAGAGAGUGUAACAACUCAUUUGUUACAUACUUGCGGCUUUAUUUUUUAACACUAGUCAAAGAAUGUAAACAAUUUAUAACAAAAAAAACUUUCAACAACGGAUCUCUUGGCUCUCGCAUCGAUGAAGAACGCAGCGAAAUGUGAUAAGUAAUGUGAAUUGCAGAAUUCAGUGAAUCAUCGAAUCUUUGAACGCACCUUGCGCUCUCUGGUAUUCCGGAGAGCAUGCCUGUUUGAGUGUCAUGAACUCUUCAACCCACCGGUUCCUUGUUGGACCGAGUUGGUGUUUGGUUUUUGAGUGUUUUGCUAUGUUUGUUCAUAGCUCGCUCGUAAUACAUUAGCAUCUCAAUUUCGAAAUUUCGGAUUGACUCAGCGUAAUAGACUAUUCGUUGAGGACACCUUUACUGGUGGCCGAAGUUAUGAUAACAGUAGACGCUUCUAAUCCUACUAGUCAUUUUAUUGAUUAGACCUCAAAUCAGGCAGGACUACCCGCUGAACUUAA